UGGGGAAUAUUGGACAAUGGGCGCAAGCCUGAUCCAGCCAUGCCGCGUGAGUGAAGAAGGCCCUAGGGUUGUAAAGCUCUUUCGACGGGGAAGAUAAUGACGGUACCCGUAGAAGAAGCCCCGGCUAACUUCGUGCCAGCAGCCGCGGUAAUACGAAGGGGGCUAGCGUUGUUCGGAAUCACUGGGCGUAAAGCGCACGCAGGCGGACUGAUAAGUCAGGGGUGAAAUCCCGGGGCUCAACCUCGGAACUGCCUUUGAUACUGCCAGUCUAGAGUCCGGGAGAGGUGAGUGGAAUUCCUAGUGUAGAGGUGAAAUUCGUAGAUAUUAGGAAGAACACCAGUGGCGAAGGCGACUCACUGGCCCGGUACUGACGCUCAGGUGCGAAAGCGUGGGGAGCAAACA
rnacentral:rRNA from 1 species